rnacentral:rRNA from 1 species
UACGUAGGGUGCAAGCGUUGUCCGGAAUUAUUGGGCGUAAAGAGCUCGUAGGCGGUCUGUCACGUCGGCUGUGAAAACCCGGGGCUCAACCCCGGGCCUGCAGUCGAUACGGGCAGACUAGAGUGCGGUAGGGGAGACUGGAAUUCCUGGUGUAGCGGUGAAAUGCGCAGGUAUCAGGAGGAACACCGGUGGCGAAGGCGGGUCUCUGGGCCGUAACUGACGCUGAGGAGCGAAAGCGUGGGGAGCGAACAGG